GCCGCGCAGCCACUCGGUGCACUUGCGCACCAGGCCCUCGUCGGCGGCCUCGGCCUCCUCCUCGUACUCCACGUCGUCGUACUUGUGCCGCUCGUUGAGCAGCGACACCUUGAGCAGCGGGCGCAGGCUCAGGUGUGGCAGCAUCUCCCAGCACCACAAAGCUCCCUUGGGACGGAGAUGCGCCUCGGUCCCAGCAGUGGGGUGCCAGGCCCCCACCCCUGCCGUCACACUGCAGAGGAGGAAAGUCUGCGGCCAGGCUAAUGGGGUGAGGAGCGCCCUCCGCUCCACUGCGACAGAGACCCGGCAUUUUCCUCCGAGAGAAAGUGAGAGUCCUCAGACUGACACCCACACCCCCACCAGUCUGGUCACCGGUGCCGUCCAGGUCCCUCCGCAUCUCGGCCCAGCCCAGAAACUUGGAGGCUCGGGGAGCUGGAGUCAGCCUGACCUCUGGGGCGGAAAAGUAAACGCUGAGCACUAUCCCCCCAUCACCCACCCAGGCUGGAAGGGCGUUCCUGCCCCCCCUCUCCCCGGAGGGCCCCAUAAGCACCCCUGUGGGCUUCCAGGAGGCCCCAUACCUCAUGGUGGGCCACUGCCCCGGAGCGACGGAGGAGUUAGCAUUUCUGAAGGCACUCUGGUCCUCAGACUCUGCUGAAGCAUCCAGAUGACAACAUCACUGACCCCUGCCAGCGACUUUGUCCACCUGAAGCCUCCAGCCCCUUGAAGUGGAGGCUAGGAAGACCCGCGUGGGCCUGAAGGGGGCGUGGGAAAGCAGCAGGUGUCUCCUCCCUGUCACUGGUGGGCUGGCUGUUGAGGAAUCCGUUAACACAUUCUGUUUGGUUGACUUGACUGGCCGGUGGCAGUUAUCAGUAAGGAGGGUCACCCCAGGAGCACACAGCCAAACUUACGUUCAAAAUAGGGGAUGUGAUGGAAAAGUGAUUAGUCAAGAAAUACAGUCCAGUUUAACUCAUAAUUUACGUGGGAGUUUGCAUAACAUGCCCAGAACACAGCAAUGGGGAUAAACUAUACAUGACACAGUAAAACUGGAGUACUGGAACCCUGUGCCCAGCUAACCUGCUUCACAGCCCUCUCUGGGAUCACCAGAGCACAAGGGUUGAUCUCUAAAACACACGAUUACAUUUCAUCUUGAGGGUAUGAAACUUACUAUUUCCAGUAAGCUGGUUGAUUUGAAAGGUCAUUUAAGCAAAAUCAAAUAUAGGUACUCAGAAUGGUUCUGAUCUUUUACUCAUGAUAUUUAAUUUUCAGAUUACAUUUAUUUUCAAAUUUCAAAUGAACAGUAACUAUAAUUUUCCACUAUUUGGAAAUUAAUGGUACUUUUUUCCUCCUACUUUUCUGUCAGAGUCAGUGUGUGGACAAAGACUUUUCACUGUAACAACCCUUAAUAUUUCCAGAAUGAAUAAAAUGUAUGCGGAAAAUAUUUGUCACUAAAAUAAAAUACCAAGAGGAGCAUAUCCAGGGAAAGUGGAGGGUAACUGUUCCACAGGUUCGAACUGAAAAUUACGGAGACUGUAGUGUGACGACCCCAAAGGGCCGUGGGCGUGCCCCCCCUUCACCACCCGGGCCCCCAACACCAUCCAGAACGCGCGUGCGCUGCCUGCGCUGUGUCCGCGCCAUGGAGCUGCGGGCUCAUUAGAUGACAGUGAUGAUCACACCGUGACACCAGCAAAGUGGCCAUUGUUUUCAUUUUCCUCAUUAGCUUGCUAAGGUCUUAUUUCUGCGAAGACAUGUACUUCCAUGUUCAGAAAAUUUCAUAAAGGGAAACUCAUCAGUAUUAUUUUCUUAAUUACACCCACUUCCUCCCAUAUUCUGUACUUUGUUUCUGUAUUUUGAGUCAAAGCACUGUACUUGAUGUAGAGGUAACUACUCCAAUGCCUAGAACUAAAACUAAAUCUGAAUUUUAAAACAUGGAAAGCUAAUUCUAGUUUUAAAAAUCCUAUUUUAUUACUGAGAAAUAGAGAACUUGGCCAAUAAUUUUUUUAAAAACCCUAAAUUUCUUCUAACAUUGGUCUGUUACUAUGAAAGGCUUUGGGAGUAGAAAACAUUUAGGAAGUUGUUCAGAUGUUACUUACUUUAGAUUCUUUCUCUUUUCCAUCAUUAAGGUAAUAACCCAUUUUAUCUGGAUUACUUCAUUGGAACCUCAUGAGAACCUGACAAGAGAAGAACCAGGAAUACUUGCAUUUUACAGAUGAGGAAACCACGGGUUGCCCAGGUAGCCGCAUCCAGCCCGCGGCUAGGGUGAGCCCUGCAGAGGCCGUGAGACCCCAGGGCACGCCCUCCGCUCCGUGCCGGUGGGCCUGCAGACGGCUUUACGCUCUUGGGACCCAAAGAGCUUCUGUUUCGUGGCCUCUAUCUACUGAUGUUAACCUUGUUAGAAAUUUAAACUGAGACUCCAAAGAGAUGUUUAUUAAUACAUUUAAUGAAAAUAAUAUUUUCUAAAACAAACAAAUCAAAGAUGAGUGGCGGCUCUGGGCUUGAUCCUUGUGCGAUCACAGGCCUGCAGAUGCGUGACUCUGCUGUGCACUCAAGGUAGAUAGAGUGAGAGGUGCGGUGUCUACGGGUUAUUACCAAAGUAGACCCUGAAAGGGCCCCGGGGACCCCAGGCGUGUCUCUGGCCUGGGCCACACGUGGACAGUUGCUGCAGCGCCUGCCGGGUUACAGAAUGAACCCACUCUGAUGUCCCUAACCCUCAUCCUGGCUGGUAGCCACGUCCUCCACUUUGAAAGCAAAACUUAAUACUCGGUGCCUUCCUGUAACAACCUGGGAAAAAGUGAAGCGAAUAAAAACAUGUGAUCGUGCAGAAGUCAGAGGCUGCGCGAUUAGAAAUGGCAUGCCUUAGGGUCUGCGACAUCUUUUUCUUGCGAAGUUUGGGUUUUAGCUAUAUCAAAGGCACACACAGUGUCCCCUUAGGGCAGGGAGAAGCAGUGGCUCUGAAGCUCAUACUGUGUGUGGAACCUGUGUGCUGAGCUCUGGCUCAGAAACCCUGGGCCACGGACACUUGUGGGAACCUAGCCUGGAGAGAUGGGGUCAGGCAGCGAGGUCCCGGCAGAGUGGAAGAAAACGAGGCGAGGACAGAAACCCGAGUAGUCCGAGCCGCCCUGGGGGGCACGGUCGCUGUUACCCAGCAGGUGCGCCUCCCCGCGGCCUCGGGGAGGGUGCCUUCUCCAGCAGAGCGCUCAGUGUCGGCUGCGGCCCCGUCACCUCCGCGUCCUGUUCCACAGUAAACACAGGCGCCGGACGUUCCCCACGCGAGCCAGGCGGUUUCCUGCGCUCCCUCCCUCCCGCAAAAGCAAUCUGCUUGUGAAGUUGUUCCUUAAAUAAUUCACUUGAAAGGAAGAUGCUGAAAGUAAGGGUGGCAGCAUGUCAGCUGAGGAAGGCGCUCUGUCAACCGUCGGAAGGUCCCAGCACAGGGACUCUGCACGUGCCGGGGCCUUCACCCCAGCACCGCGCGUGCUACAGCCGCGGUCAGGCGGCUUUGUAAAAGCCGAGCGUGGUUUUGAGUGGCCUUGUGAAUGUUGUCACAGCUAGUUUGCAAGUCGGGGGGUUUGUUUAACGUUCAAGGGAAGAACAGCCGAGUCCGCGUUCCCUGGGUCCCAGCGUUCCCGGGAUGGGGGGUGGAGGGGUCUGCAGGCCGGGACCCAGCUGUUUCCUCACCUCACCCCUGUCUCUGGGGCGGGUCCCCCGCAGACCCCUACAGGCCUUCUGUGGACGCCGCCACAUGGAGGGCCAGCCCAUCACUCCCCAGCCAGUUCCUGACAGGACACCAGUCACUGACCGCCAGGGCCUGUGAGGCCACCCCAAGGACUUGUCAUUACUGCCAUCACCAGCAGGACAGGCUCCGCACCGCGUCCUGCCGUCUCUGCCGGACUCCUGCACGGCAGUCCUGGUGCUGUCGAGCCUGUGGGGCUGGACGCCCCUGUCCCGCCAUCCUGAGGGCCGCUCUGGGACCACUCGGGUACCUAGCGUUAUGUCCCAGAGGCUCACAGAGAUGAGUAUAAAGCAGCUUUUCAGAUGCCCACGGCCCUUUUUAAUGUCCUAUCUGCUGGGUGCCGUGGCCAGGCAGGGCUCACCCCCGUGUCCAGCAGGUACCAGCAGAGCCUCCUGUCAGACGUCUUCUUGAGAUAAGGAAGUGGAAGCUUACAGAGGCCAGCACCUUGUCCAAGUGCAAACAGCUGGACGUGGGGGAGCUGCCUGCCCUCCAGACUGUCCAGGCUGCGGGCCAUCUUGGGGUCACCGAGCUCUGCUCCCCUUCUGACAGCUGCCAGGGCCUCCAACCUGAGAGGGCCCUGUGUUCAUGGCAGACUUCAACUCUUGGGGGGGAAUGCCUUUGAGGAGCUGGCAAAAGCAACGGAAUACAGAAACAGUCCUGCAGUGGCGGGGGAGGUGAAGCCUUUCCACCAACCCGCCUGUGAACCUUGGCACGAACCCCUCAGCGAGGCGGAGAGGGCAGCAGGGACAUGUGUCCGGGGUGUGGCCUUCACGCUGUCCACCAGCUGCAGGACGAGCCGGAGACCUGGAGGUAAGGGCCACAGUGGGAAAUAGGAACACCAGGGUGGGGACACGUGCGGACAAGCCUGCUAAGGAUCUGGACCUCUGACCACGACAGGCCCCCUCCCAGAGGGGACGCCGGUCCUGAUGAAGUGUGCAGGGAAGAGCCUGACGAAUUCUCCCUGAGAUUAACAAGACUGACCUGUGACCUUCACAGUGCCUAGCACGGGCAUGGGCAGACCUCUCUCACUGUCCCAUCCUGCGGGGGACACACAUGCACCAUGUCCCACUCACGCCCAUGGGCUCUGAAGCCCACGGCGAUGUCCCUCCUCCCCCGUAGGGAUGGGGAUGGACCAGCUAUGUGGCCAGACCUGCAUUCCAGCCCCGACUCCGGGAGCGUCAGUGCUGUAGCCGCCUGGGCUGGACAGGGCAUCUCCACGAAGCCAGAGCUCCGAUCAGCUGGGAAACAGCCUCGCUGUCCCAGGGGUCACCCUCCUGCGCCAUCUCCCCGGACGGAGUAACUCUCUUCGCUGCCCUGAGGCCAUGCCCCCACCUCCACGGUGGACACCUAACCCCAAGCUGCCCUGUAUCCUGCGCUCGGACUGUCUGCACAGUACAGCAGUGUGCUUCCAGCCAGCUCUGGGGACACGGCGCUCCAAGUGUGACUCCAGCGGCGGCCUCUGUCUAAAGAUGAAGACACUGUCCAGGAUAAGGUGUGUCUGUUGCCUGCCCACUGCCCCUCUCUUGUGCUGACCCCUAGCAGACCCUCGCUUCAGUCUGGCCGAGCCCGACCACUCAUGCAGGACCAAGCUGAGCAAGUUAUAGCAUUUCAAUUAAAAGAACACAGUCCGUCUGGAA